CUAACAAGGAUUCCCCUAGUAACUGCGAGUGAAGCGGGAAAAGCUCAAAUUUGAAAUCUGGCAGUCUUUUUUUUCUUCUUUGGCUGUCCGAGUUGUAAUCUAGAGAAGUGCUUACCUGCACUGGACCAUGUAUAAGUCUCCUGGAAUGGAGCGUCACAGAGGGUGAGAAUCCCGUCUUUGACAUGGACCGCCAGUGUGUUGUGGUGUGCUCUCAAAGAGUCGAGUUGUUUGGGAAUGCAGCUCUAAAUGGGUGGUAAACUCCAUCUAAAGCUAAAUAUUGGCGAGAGACCGAUAGUGAACAAGUACCGUGAGGGAAAGAUGAAAAGGACUUUGGAAAGAGAGUUAAACAGUAUGUGAAAUUGUUGAAAGGGAAACGCUUGAAGUCAGUUAUGUUGGCUAGGGAUCAACCUAGCUGUUUUUUGCUGGGUGAAUUUCCUAGUCUGACAGGCCAACAUCAGUCUUGACUGCUGGAAAAGAGCAGAGGGAAUGUGGCACCUUUGGGUGUGUUAUAGCCUUUUGUCAUAUGUGGCAGUUGGGACUGAGGGAUGCAGCAUGCCGCGAGGCUGGGUUUCUGACCACGUUCAUGCUCAGGAUGUUGGCUUUUAAUGGCUUCAAUCGACCCGUCUUGAAACACGGACCAAGGAGUCUAACAUGCCUGCGAGUGUUUGGGUGGGGAAAACCCUUGUGCACAAUGAAAGUGAAAGUUGAGAUCCCUGUCAUGGGGAGCAUCGACGCCCGGACCUGAGCUUUUAGCGACGGAUCUGCGGUAGAGCAUGCAUGUUGGGACCCGAAAGAUGGUGAACUAUGCCUGAAUAGGGCAAAGCCAGAGGAAACUCUGGUGGAGGCUCGUAGCGAUUCUGACGUGCAAAUCGAUCGUCAAAUUUGGGUAUA
rnacentral:rRNA from 1 species